UACGUAGGGGGCAAGCGUUGUCCGGAAUCAUUGGGCGUAAAGCGCGUGUAGGCGGCUAGAUAAGUCUGCUCUGAAAGCCCGGGGCUCAACCCCGGGAGGCGGGUGGAUACUGUCUAGCUCGAGUCCGGAAGAGGAGUGUGGAAUUCCUGGUGUAGCGGUGAAAUGCGCAGAUAUCAGGAGGAACACCAAUGGCGAAGGCAGCACUCUGGGACGUGACUGACGCUGAGGAGCGAAAGCGUGGGGAGCGAACAGG
rnacentral:rRNA from 1 species